CCCGCUGAACUUAAGCAUAUCAAUAAGCGGAGGAAAAGAAACCAACAGGGAUUGCCCCAGUAGCGGCGAGCGAAGCGGCAAGAGCUCAGAUUUGAAAUCUGGCCGCCCCCGGCGGUCCGAGUUGUAAUCUGCAGGCGGGUUCUCUGGCGAGCGCGCACCACCUAAGUCUCCCUGGAACGGGGCGCCAUAGAGGGUGAGAGCCCCGUGAGGAGGGGCGCGCGAGCCUGUGUGAGGCCUGUCCGACGAGUCGAGUAGUUUGGGAAUGCUGCUCUAAAUGGGAGGUAUAUUCCUUCUAAAGCUAAAUACCGGCCAGAGACCGAUAGCGCACAAGUAGAGUGAUCGAAAGGUGAAAAGCACUUUGAAAAGAGAGUGAAACAGUACGUGAAAUCGUUGCAGGGGAAGCGCUCAUGACCAGACUUGGGCCCGGUGAAUCAUCCAGCGUUCUCGCUGGUGCACUUUGCCGGGCUCAGGCCAGCAUCAGUUUGCUCCGGGGGAUAAAGGCUUUGGGAAUGUGGCUCCUCCGGGAGUGUUAUAGCCCAUUGCACAAUACCCUGGGGCGGACUGAGGUUCGCGCAUUUAUGCAAGGAUGCUGGCGUAAUGGUCAUCAGCGACCCGUCUUGAAACACGG
rnacentral:rRNA from 1 species